CGGAGCUGUGGGAUGCAGGCCGGCCGAAGCGGAGUGGAGAGGGCGCGGGAAUCCUGUGCGGUCCGGACGCAGCGUCCGAGAGCUGGGUUCCGUCAUCCCCUGCAGCCUGGAGGUGUUUCCUGACAGUACCGGUCCUAGCUGCAGAGGAGUCCAGGCUGGGUGCCGAUUCAAGCCCCGGCUCAGUCCUCUUUCCCCACUAAGGAUGGCUUCUGUCUCCCGAAAUUGGUGGAGUUUGGACUUUAUCUCUCUUUGCUUUGAGGAUCUACGGUGUGUAAGCUCUCGCUGGCCUGCAAAGGAAUCUAUACAGAGCCCCAUGUGUUAGAGGAUGGGCGAAUGAGAGCUUGGAGAUGCCUGAGGUAUGGUCCUUACCCGCGUGACAGCUUGGAGGUCCAGGUGAGAAGUCAGGAUUGAAGACUUCAUGGAGGAGUCACCAUUUUGCCCUGAAUCAAAAAUCAAUUCCUUACUGACUUAUUACUGUAUUAAAAGUGUUGUAAUUAACUGUGGUAUUUGUUUGGGUACCAGUUGGGUCAGAAGAUCUGGAGUUACAAGCAGUUGUGAACUGCCAAAUGUGGGUGCUGGGAAUCAAUCUCUGGUCCUCUGGAAGAGCAAGCAGUACAUGCCACUCACAUAACCCCUGUGCCAUCUCUCCAGUCCCAUCCCGUCCUCCCCACCUCCCAACCUGUUUUUAACAACAAAAGAUUAGGCUUUGAUCUGAGAAAAGCAUUAAAGAUACGAUUUUAUAGAAUUUUAAAAUGGAAGAUAAUCCACCCAGAAGAAGAAAUAGACUUAAAAAGUAACUUAGCAGUGUUGAGAUGCAUACAUCUUUGAACUUGUGGGAGAAUAAGCAUUAGCUAGAGGUGGUGUAGCAUCAUGGAUGAGAACAUUCUUCAGAACUCUAUUGCUCUGCAUUGAAUCUUGGCUCUGUGUUGUCUAGCUGUUGGUUUCCCCCAACUGUUAAAUGAAGUCACUGCAUUUAAUCAUCAGGUUGUGAUGAGGCAUAAGAUAAUAUACACAAAGCAAAUCCCUCCCAUGAGGCCUUGCCUACAGCAGGCGUGCAGCAAGAUGUACCUAUUAUGAUAGGAAAGAUCACCAGAAUGGCAGUCCUUGUUUAUGGAUGUGAGGGAUGACUUUGCUGUGACUUAAUAAAAGACUGGGGUAAACCAGA